rnacentral:ncRNA from 2 species
GCGACAGACCAGGGGAGCCCCGGCAGGGGGCUGAGAGGCUGGCAUGCCCAUAAGGCGCCCGGCGACCCUUUGAACCUGAUCCAGUUCACGCUGGCGGAGGGAGGGCGAUCGAAAUGUUC